rnacentral:misc_RNA from 1 species
AAGUCGUAACAAGGUUUCCGUAGGUGAACCUGCGGAAGGAUCAUUAACACGUAUCCAACGUUAAAAACCCCCCCCCGUGAACUUUCAAUCCUGCUCUUGUAACCCGCGUAGUUCGCAAUCUCUGGUAAAUCAUAGCCCGGCAUGCAGUCAGUGUCGGAAAGUGUCACUGAUUGUGCAAGGAUAGCGCUUCACGAUUCCUGUAGACCGUACACUCGGGCAGGAGCUCUGCCAAAGGGUCCCCAUGCCCUUCUAACCCCACAGUUUAAUGUAAAGCUCAAUGUAAUACAUUGGGAAAAAAUACCGAACAACUGUUAACAAUGGAUAUCUUGGUUCUC